rnacentral:tRNA from 1 species
GCCGAGGUAGCAGAGUGGUUAAUGCGCGGGCCUUGAGAGCCCGUGGAUCAUCCGGUCCGCAUGGGUUCGAAUCCCAUUCUCGGCGCCA